GCAAGGCCAUGAUCUGCAAGGUUGCAAGCCAACCCACCAAAUCUCUUGGGCAAGAACUAAGGAAGGAGCAAGGGCAGAAACCUGAGCCAGUGUCCAGCUCUUUGCUGGGGAGGUGGGGAAGGAGCUACAAAAGCCACAGGCCCUGUGGGUUUCCACCAAGGACACCAGAAAUAAUCUGAUACCGAUAAUAUCAGUGAUCCACUCUUCUAUUAUCAGCAGUAUCGAAGAACUAGAGGCUUCCAAAAAUAGCAACUGCAUCAAAAGCGUGCUUUGUUCCUAUAUUUGUGUUCUUCUCUGUGAUCCUUUCCAUAUGAAAUUCAGAUUUUGCCAGAGUCUUUUGGCCAGGUCCCCAUGUGGAACUGGCUUGGAAGGUAUGGUUUGGCUGAGGCCCUGGCAGAGCUGGUUUGGGAACACUUUAGGGAUCGCACAGAAGCUGACCUUGAGACAACGAUUUUAUGCAACUUAGCAAAAGUAACACAAUGAUUUAUUGAACUAGAAGUGACUAUCACAGAAAAGCUAUCUUAUGAAUUCCAUUUGUCCACUGCUAUGAAUUUAUGAGUGGUAUCACAGGUGUUUUUAUAAAUGCAUAAUCCUGGGCAAUCAAUCUAUGCAGCUGUAGUAUAGGUCAAUCUACCUUUCAAACAUUCCUUCAGUAUUUUGGCUUUUGUAUACUUUUGUGGUUUUUUAGCACUUCCAGCUUCCUGUUCCCAAAGGCAAACAAGUAAUUGUAAAGGUAAGCAGAGAGCUCAGUGUUCAGUAAGGUUUUGGAAAUGUUUUUGUAGUUUACUUAUCAUGAAAAGAUCAGUGGACAGCUUUUAGCAUGGCUUUUAGUGAUACAUUUGAUUACAUUAUCAAUAACUGCAUAGUAAUGGAUUCCCACUGUUUCUUUCCAAUGUAGGUAGUUGCUGGUGGUGCUUUCUGGUAAAAGAAGAGGAAAG